GUCCGAGUAAAAGUGCAGUAUGGUCCUCGUCAUACAAUAGCCUGAAAUUGCUCCUGGAAACAAAAGGAAUUGGCAAUGGAGAGGUUGAGAGCUGUGCGUCGUCUCCUUCAUUACUCAUCAUCGAAGUCCCUCUUUGGUCCUCGAUCGAAUCCAACUUCCGCAGAGCAUCCACUACGUCGCUCUGCCUCGGGCGUUUGGUAUUGGUGCCCAUAUAUUGCGGAUCAAAAGGGGAGAUUCGGAGGAACUUUUUGGGGUCCUACUGUGGGGACAGGCCUUGGAAAGACGAUCAGAAUCCAGAAUAGACGCUUUGGUUCAUUGGCAGCAACGAUUCAGAGGAACCCAUCAUUUUCGACUCUGAAUUCCGAUGAUAUAAGCUAUUUUAAGGGCGUCUUAGGCGAGAAAAAUGUCAUUCAGGAUGAGGACUGGCUUCUUUCUGCAAACACGGACUGGAUGCGGAAGUACAACGGGUCCAGUAAGCUUCUACUACAACCGAGGAGCACUGAGGAGGUCUCUCGGGUUCUUAAAUACUGUAAUUCCAGAAGCUUGGCUGUUGUACCCCAGGGUGGAAAUACUGGUCUUGUUGGUGGAAGUGUUCCUGUUUUUGAUGAAGUGAUUAUUAAUAUGGGUUCAAUGAAUAACGUCGUAUCUUUUGACGAGGUCAGUGGUAUAUUGGUAUGUGAAGCAGGGUGCAUUUUGGAAAACCUGAUUUCUUUUCUGGACAACCAGGGAUUUAUUAUGCCACUGGACUUGGGUGCAAAAGGAAGCUGCCAGAUUGGUGGAAAUGUUUCAACUAAUGCUGGUGGUUUGCGUCUUGUCCGUUAUGGAUCUCUUCAUGGAAAUGUACUUGGUAUUGAAGUUGUUUUAGCAAACGGUGAUGUGCUUGACAUGCUUGGGACUCUAAGGAAAGAUAAUACAGGGUAUGAUCUAAAGCAUUUAUUUAUAGGAAGUGAAGGAUCCUUGGGAAUUAUAACCAAGGUUUCCAUUCUUACUCCUCCAAAACUAUCUUCAGUGAAUCUUGCUUUUCUUGCAUGUAAAGACUAUUCCAGCUGCCAGAAACUUCUACUGGAAGCAAAGAGGAGACUUGGGGAGGUUCUAUCUGCAUUUGAAUUUUUGGAUAAUCAGUCACUGGAUCUGGUUCUGAAUCAUUUGGAAGGUGUUAGGAAUCCAUUACCUCCCUCAGUGCACAACUUCUAUGUUCUGAUUGAGACAACUGGCAGUGAUGAAUCUUAUGACAAAGAAAAGCUUGAAGCUUUCCUACUUCGCUCCAUGGAAGGUGGUUUGAUUUCCGAUGGUGUUCUUGCACAAGACAUAAACCAAGCUUCAUCAUUUUGGCGUAUACGUGAGGGUGUACCAGAGGCACUCAUGAAAGCAGGAGCUAUUUACAAAUAUGAUUUGUCAUUACCUGUAGAAAAGAUGUACAAUCUUGUCGAGGAAAUGCGAAUAAGGCUUGGUGAUUCAUCUAAAGUAAUUGGAUAUGGUCACCUUGGAGAUGGAAAUUUACAUCUUAAUAUUUCAACCCCACAGUAUGACGAUAUGAUUUUAGCUCAAAUUGAGCCCUUUGUCUAUGAAUGGACAUCCAAGCACCGUGGGAGUAUUAGUGCAGAGCAUGGCUUGGGACUGAUGAAAGCUAAUAAGAUUUUCUACAGCAAAUCACGCGAAAGUGUGCAACUAAUGGCUUCCAUCAAGAAGUUGAUGGACCCCAAUGGGAUACUGAACCCAUAUAAAGUUCUUCCGCACUCCCUUUCUUACAGCUGAGGUAGGGACUUGAUCUAUGAUGCUUUUUUCCUCAUCCUAGAUUAUCACACUUUAUUGUUUCGAUUUUUAGCUCCUGAAGAGCAAUUUCAAAGUUGCAUAUUAAAAAAAGGAGUAAUUGCAUGGCUUGCUUCUGAAAUUUAGAAGGUAGUUGGGGAAUGAACAACAGCCUUGUGAAUUAAGCCAGUUUUACCUGAAAUGAGGGACCGGCUUUCCUGGGUAAAGAGGGAUAACAUUGUUUAAUAUUCCUUUAAGAAACCUCAUGUCACAAAUCAAUCAAUAUCAAGUCGAAAGCUCAAUCGACCACACCCUGAGGUAGCCAGCAACAUGGUCUGGUCUCAAGUUGGAGCAAGUGGACAGGCCUGAGCUACAGGCUAGUAGGAUGCAAGUCUAACUUCGUGGGGGUAAACUACAAUUUACAAAAGUUUGAGAU